rnacentral:misc_RNA from 1 species
AAGCUACUGGGGGAGCCGAAGCUCCCCCAAAGUGCGUGCUCUUUAUUUUUAUUGUCUUGUCGGGCUUCUUGUUUUUGUUGAGUGCCCAUCCACAGGGUUUCGCCUGUGAAAUCUCCCAAUCGGGAGUCAAGAGCAAACGGAUUGCUUUGGUCGCUGCGUUGCAAUGAUCAUUCGAUCCAACCAGUUCAGGCGCUACCUAAGGGUAGUU